rnacentral:rRNA from 1 species
UACGGAGGGUGCGAGCGUUGUCCGGAAUCAUUGGGCGUAAAGGGCGCGUAGGUGGCGGGACAAGCGUGCGGUGAAAGCCCGGGGCUCAACCCCGGGUCGGCCGUGCGGACUGGGAGGCUCGAGCACUGUAGGGGCGGGUGGAAUUCCGGGUGUAGCGGUGGAAUGCGUAGAGAUCCGGAAGAACACCGGUGGCGAAGGCGGCCCUGCUGG